rnacentral:rRNA from 1 species
GUGGGGAAUCUUGCGCAAUGAGCGACAGCUUGACGCAGCAACGCCGCGUGGGGGAAGAAGGCUUUCGGGUCGUAAACCCCUUUCAGUUAGGACGAAGCUUCAUUGGUUAAUAACUGAUUGGAGUGACGGUACUUUCAGAAGAAGCCCCGGCUAACUACGUGCCAGCAGCCGCGGUAAUACGUAGGGGGCAAGCGUUGUCCGGAAUCAUUGGGCGUAAAGAGCGUGUAGGCGGCCUGAUCAGUCUGCUGUGAAAGUCCAGGGCUUAACCCUGGAAUGCCGGUGGAUACUGUCAGGCUUGAGUCCGGAAGAGGCGAGUGGAACUCCUGGUGUAGCGGUGGAAUGCGCAGAUAUCAGGAAGAACACCAACGGCGAAGGCAGCUCGCUGGGACGGUACUGACGCUGAGACGCGAAAGCGUGGGGAGCAAACAGGAUUAGAAACCCCAGUAGUCC